rnacentral:lncRNA from 1 species
CGCCGUGCCUGGGUGCUUUGAUGCCUUGGUACUUUUGACAAUGGCCAGUCACUUUUUAAAAUGUUAAGCCAUAAAGCGGUUUUGUGUUCCUCAGCUAUGAAGAGGUAUAUUUUAAAGAGCAAUUUUUCUUGCCUGCAGUGAAGAAAUAUGCUCCCAAGAAGCAAAUAUCUCAUCCAUUAGAACAAAAUGUACCCAUCCAGGGCCAACAGGGUUUGAGAAGAUUGCAUAUCAGGGCGUGUUCCGCAUCUCCAAGGCUCAAGCAGCUUGACUCAGGAUCAAUUAGUAAUAACUCUGGGUAGCAUCUGAUUGUCUCAGCAUGCUCCCCUGUCCCCUUCAUCUCUUAAUUCCUACAAUUAGCAUGAAUUAAUAUGGGUUUUCAGUUUAGAGAUGAAUAAGAGCUUAGAGACUUUUUGGUAACUUCUUUGGGUUCAGAAUAACAUUCAGACAUUUGGAUUAGAAAGAAAAUCAGGAUGUAGUUCAAAAUAAAGUAUUUUAUUCCCCUUUGUCUCUCUCCUUGCUUGUUCUUUUAAGUGUUUCUAUAUAGCCAAGGGCAAAUCACAUAUACAAGCUAUGGAUCCUGAUAGUUUUUUUUUUUUUUUUUUCUAAAUACCAAUGCCACUGGCUGUUUCAAAAGCAGUUCUAACUUCCAACUUAGUCUGGGGCUAUAUCUAUGGGAAAGAGACUAGGAUACAGCAAGGUCUAUUUUAUAUUAUUAGGAUAAAUUAAGCCUUACCCCAAACUACCAUGCUCAAUGAAAAUGCCUUUGAAAAAAAUGAUAAUAUGGCACCCCAGAGAUAUGUGGAAGUAGAAUGCCACUCCAGAUGAACUGACUUGGCCAUGUGGCCAUUCUGUUUGAUCUGAGAUGACUCUGGGCCUUGGAUAUUACACAUGCUCCGGAAGCAGGAAGUGUCAUAUUUUAAGCAGACCCUUCCCGGGUUGGCAAGAGUAACAGGAAACAAAUUCCACACAUGACAGGAAACAUCAGUGGGGUGUGAGAAUGGGCACUUUCCCCAGUAUCGCUCGCUCUGCCAAAUGCCACGAAGCCACAUCACAGGAGCCAGUGCACGGUCCCAUGGGCUUGAUGGAAAAGGAGACGUGUUUAAUGAAGACCAGAGGGCUCCCCUCAGCAACCAGCAUCAUAACUCUGGGACGAAGGUCUGGCAGGAUCCAGAAUGGCUGCUCAGGUGAAGAGCAUCACUGAUCUUGUUCUUCCAAAGAGACUGUUGCUGAGCACUGGAGGUAACAGCGGAGAGCCCAGGGUUUCUUUUCACUGUGGACAAGAUUCUAAUCCAGACAUUUAUGUUCUGAUAGAGGUGCUAACCAGAAGGCUGACUUCAAGCUUGCAGAAAGAAAAUUAGGAACCGCAAAGCUAGUCCAAAAGAAUGAAUCCAUGGCCAGAGUCCUAGGCAGUAUUCCCUCCUGGAUCUUUCAAAAGGAAAGAUCACUGAAAAAUCGCCUAUUAUAUUCCAUUAGUAUUCUUGAUAUUCUACACCCAAUGAAGUGACGAGGGACUUUAGGGAUUCUCUUUGCCAGCAAUGUCUUUCAAAUCAUAAGAGGAGGGCAAGGCCUUGAAAUGAGUCUGCGUAACAUCAAUAAAGAUUGAUGAAUGCCAAACA